AGAUUGAACGCUGGCGGCAGGCCUAACACAUGCAAGUCGAGCGGUAGAGAGGUGCUUGCAUCUCUUGAGAGCGGCGGACGGGUGAGUAAUGCCUAGGAAUCUGCCUAGUGGUGGGGGAUAACGUUCGGAAACGGACGCUAAUACCGCAUACGUCCUACGGGAGAAAGCCGGGGGACCUUCGGGCCUCGCGCCAUUAGAUGAGCCUAGGUCGGAUUAGCUAGUUGGUGAGGUAAUGGCUCACCAAGGCGACGAUCCGUAACUGGUCUGAGAGGAUGAUCAGUCACACUGGAACUGAGACACGGUCCAGUACU
rnacentral:rRNA from 1 species